CAGGAUGAACGCUAGCGACAGGCUUAACACAUGCAAGUCGAGGGCAGCUUAAAGUAGCAAUACUUGGUGGCGACCGGCGCACGGGUGAGUAACGCGUAUGCAACCUACCUAUCAGAGGGGAAUAACCCGGCGAAAGUCGGACUAAUACCGCAUAAAACAGGGGCACCGCAUGGUGAUAUUUGUUAAAGAAAUUCGCUGAUAGAUGGGCAUGCGUUCCAUUAGGUAGUUGGUGAGGUAACGGCUCACCAAGCCGACGAUGGAUAGGGGAACUGAGAGGUUGGUCCCCCACACUGGUACUGAGACACGGACCAGACUCCUACGGGAGGCAGCAGUGAGGAAUAUUGGUCAAUGGGCGAGAGCCUGAACCAGCCAAGUCCGCGUGAAGGAAGAAGGAUCUAUGGUUCGUAAACUUCUUUUGCAGGGGAAUAAAGUGUAGGACGUGUCCUGUUUUGUAUGUACCCUGAGAAUAAGGAUCGGCUAACUCCGUGCCAGCCGCCGC
rnacentral:rRNA from 1 species